rnacentral:rRNA from 1 species
UAGGGAAUCUUCGGCAAUGGACGGAAGUCUGACCGAGCAACGCCGCGUGAGUGAAGAAGGUUUUCGGAUCGUAAAGCUCUGUUGUAAGAGAAGAACGAGUGUGAGAGUGGAAAGUUCACACUGUGACGGUAUCUUACCAGAAAGGGACGGCUAACUACGUGCCAGCAGCCGCGGUAAUACGUAGGUCCCGAGCGUUGUCCGGAUUUAUUGGGCGUAAAGCGAGCGCAGGCGGUUAGAUAAGUCUGAAGUUAAAGGCUGUGGCUUAACCAUAGUACGCUUUGGAAACUGUUUAACUUGAGUGCAAGAGGGGAGAGUGGAAUUCCAUGUGUAGCGGUGAAAUGCGUAGGUAUAUGGAGGAACACCGGUGGCGAAAGCGGCUCUCUGGCUUGUAACUGACGCUGAGGCUCGAAAGCGUGGGGAGCAAACAGGAUUAGAUACCCUGGUAGUCCACGCCGUAAACGAUGAGUGCUAGGUGUUAGACCCUUUCCGGGGUUUAGUGCCGCAGCUAACGCAUUAAGCACUCCGCCUGGGGAGUACGACCGCAAGGUUG